AACGAACGCUGGCGGCAGGCUUAACACAUGCAAGUCGAACGCCCCGCACGGGGAGUGGCAGACGGGUGAGUAACGCGUGGGAACAUACCCUUUCCUGCGGAAUAGCUCCGGGAAACUGGAAUUAAUACCGCAUACGCCCUACGGGGGAAAGAUUUAUCGGGGAAGGAUUGGCCCGCGUUGGAUUAGCUAGUUGGUGGGGUAAAGGCCUACCAAGGCGACGAUCCAUAGCUGGUCUGAGAGGAUGAUCAGCCACAUUGGGACUGAGACACGGCCCAAACUCCUACGGGAGGCAGCAGUGGGGAAUAUUGGACAAUGGGCGCAAGCCUGAUCCAGCCAUGCCGCGUGAGUGAUGAAGGCCUUAGGGUUGUAAAGCUCUUUCACCGAUGAAGAUAAUGACGGUAGUCGGAGAAGAAGCCCCGGCUAACUUCGUG
rnacentral:rRNA from 1 species